rnacentral:rRNA from 1 species
GACGAACGCUGGCGGCGUGCUUAACACAUGCAAGUCGAACGGAAAGGCCCUGCUUUUGUGGGGUGCACGAGUGGCGAGGGGGUGAGUAACACGUGAGUAACCUGCCCUUGUCUUUGGGAUAACUUCAGGAAACUGGGGCUAAUACCGGAUAGGAGCUACUGCUGCAUGGUGUGGGUUGGAAAAUUUCGGCGGUUGGGGAUGGUCUCGCGGCUUAUCAGCUUGUUGGUGGGGUAGUGGCUUACAAAGGCUUUGACGGGUAGCCGGCCUGAGAGGGUGACCGGCCACAUGGGGACUGAGAUACGGACCAGACUCCUACGGUAGGCAGCAGUGGGGAAUAUUGCACAAUGGGCGGAAGCCUGAUGCAGCAACGCCGCGAGCGGGAUGACGGCCUUCGGGUUGUAAACCGCUUUCGCCGGUGACGAAGCGUGAGUGACGGUAAUGGGUAAAGAAGCACCGGCUAACUACGUG